rnacentral:rRNA from 1 species
UGGGGAAUAUUGCACAAUGGGGGAAACCCUGAUGCAGCGACGCCGCGUGCGGGAUGAAGGCCUUCGGGUUGUAAACCGCUUUCAGCAGGGACGAAAGUGACGGUACCUGCAGAAGAAGCACCGGCUAACUACGUGCCAGCAGCCGCGGUAAUACGUAGGGUGCAAGCGUUGUCCGGAAUUAUUGGGCGUAAAGAGUUCGUAGGCGGCCUGUCGCGUCCGUUGUGAAAGCCUGGGGCUCAACCCCAGGUCGGCAGUGGAUACGGGCAGGCUAGAGUCAGGUAGGGGAGAACGGAAUUCCUGGUGUAGCGGUGAAAUGCGCAGAUAUCAGGAGGAACACCGGUGGCGAAGGCGGUUCUCUGGGCCUGUACUGACGCUGGGGAACGAAAGCGUGGGGAGCGAACAGGAUUAGAUACCCUGGUAGUCCACGCCGUAAACGGUGGGCGCUAGAUGUGGGGACCUUCCACGGUUUCUGCGUCGCAGCUAACGCAUUAAGCG